UACGUAGGGUGCAAGCGUUAAUCGGAAUUACUGGGCGUAAAGCGUGCGCAGGCGGUUGUGCAAGACCGAUGUGAAGUCCCCGGGCUCAACCUGGGAACUGCAUUUGUGACUGCACAGCUUGAGUGCGGCAGAGGGGGAUGGAAUUCCGCGUGUAGCAGUGAAAUGUGUAGAUAUCGAGAGGAACGCCCGCGGCGAAAGCGGGUGGCUGGGCCUGUCCUGACGCUGAUACGCGAAAGCGUGGGGAGCAAACGGG
rnacentral:rRNA from 1 species